rnacentral:rRNA from 1 species
ACGGGUGAGUAAUACAUCGGAACGUAUCCUGGAGUGGGGGAUAGCCCGGCGAAAGCCGGAUUAAUACCGCAUACGCUCUGUGGAGGAAAGCGGGGGACCUUCGGGCCUCGCGCUCAAGGGGCGGCCGAUGGCGGAUUAGGUAGUUGGUGGGGUAAAGGCCUACCAAGCCGACGAUCCGUAGCUGGUCUGAGAGGACGACCAGCCACACUGGGACUGAGACACGGCCCAGACUCCUACGGGAGGCAGCAGUGGGGAAUUUUGGACAAUGGGGGCAACCCUGAUCCAGCAAUGCCGCGUGUGUGAAGAAGGCCUUCGGGUUGUAAAGCACUUUUGUCCGGAAAGAAAUCAUCGGGCCAAUACCCCUGGUGGAUGACGGUACCGGAAGAAUAAGCACCGGCUAACUACGUGCCAGCAGCCGCGGUAAUACGUAGGGUGCGAGCGUUAAUCGGAAUUACUGGGCGUAAAGCGUGCGCAGGCGGUGCUGUAAGACCGAUGUGAAAUCCCCGGGCUUAACCUGGGAACUGCAUUGGUGACUGCAGCGCCGGAGUAUGGCAGAGGGGGGUGGAAUUCCACGU